UCGAGAAUUUUUCACAAUGGGCGAAAGCCUGAUGGAGCGACGCCGCGUGGGGGAUGAAUGGCUUCGGCCCGUAAACCCCUGUCAUUUGCGAACAAACCUUGUUAUUUAAAAGAUGACGAGCUGAUAGUAGCGAAAGAGGAAGGGACGGCUAACUCUGUGCCAGCAGCCGCGGUAAUACAGAGGUCCCAAGCGUUGUUCGGAUUCACUGGGCGUAAAGGGUGCGUAGGUGGUCGGGUAAGUCUGAUGUGAAAUCUCCGAGCUUAACUCGGAAAUGGCAUUGGAUACUAUUCGGCUGGAGGGUUGGAGGGGGGACUGGAAUUCUCGGUGUAGCAGUGAAAUGCGUAGAUAUCGAGAGGAACACCAGUGGCGAAGGCGAGUCCCUGGACAACUCCUGACGCUAAGGCACGAAAGCUAGGGGAGCAAACAGGAUUAGAUACCCCCGUAGUCC
rnacentral:rRNA from 1 species